UACGUAGGGUGCAAGCGUUAUUCGGAAUUACUGGGCGUAAAGGGUGCGCAGGCGGCUUGAUAAGUUGGAAGUGAAAUCCCUGGGCUUAACCCAGGAAUUGCUUUCAAAACUAUUAAGCUAGAGUCUCGGAGAGGUUAGCGGAAUUCUCAGUGUAGAGGUGAAAUUCGUAGAUAUUGGGAGGAACACCAGUGGCGUAAGCGGCUAACUAGACGAGAACUGACGCUCAGGCACGAAAGCGUGGGGAUCAAACAGG
rnacentral:rRNA from 1 species